GCUCGUACUACAUUUGUUGUCAUUCCCUGCAUGACAACAGUGUACAAUUUCGACAUUAAAUAGGAAAGAUUUUGAACUAUCUACAGCUUUGGCUUAAGAUGUUAAUAGGCAACGGAUUCUGCAUAUUAGCAUUCAAUUUUGUGUCGUUCAACUGUGGAGUGUAUGGUUUGGAUUGGCCAUGGAAUUGGAAAAGGAAAGAUAGCACAUGCUACACCACGUGUUUGGCAGCAUUUAACACAGGUGCAGUUGUUGCAAUCCCAUUGGCAAUACCUGCAUUAGGAUUUGGCGCCGCAGGUGGUGUUGCUGUGUUUCCUGCUGCUCUUCCGAUAGGAGUUGUGAAUGCCGGAAACUGGUUUGGGACAAUGAAGUUGUUAUCUAUUGUUUCACAACUGUGUGCAGCUAUAUGCGGGAUUAAAGAAGAAGACCUAAAAUGUAAUAAUUUGCCACUGGGCGUUAAGCAACCAACAAUCAAUCAAUCAAUAAAAUGUAAUACUCACAGAAUCAACGGAAUGAAAGGCUUAGAUGAAAAUCUCAUAAAAGCUGAAAAAGUAAAUAAUAUAGAAAAAUGUGAAGGGCUAUGCAACGAUGAAAAAGAUUGCAGAGCCUUCCGAUAUCUGUCGAAAAAUAGCUUAUGUUUUGUUUACAAUCUACAACGACAUAUUGAAGAUGAUAUCAAUGAAAGCCAGUUCUAUGUGAAACGUUGCGUUUUAUGCUACAUGAACACCAUGAAAAAUGCAAAAGGACGUGACGAUGAAAUUGAAUCAAUUUGGGAAGAAUCCUCUCUUAUAGAAUGUGAAAAUAAAUGCAUUAAGUCAGACGACUGCAGAGCUGUUCAUUUUGAUGGAAAAAGGUGCUUCAAAUUUAACGAUGAAGUGAAACCGUAUAAGAAAACUGGCAUUCAUUUUUCAAGAAAGAUAUGUGUUCAUUAUACUGAUUAAAAUGAAUAUGAUGGCUAGAGUAUGAAAAAGCUGAAGAGGUCUUGGUCAUGAAUUUUACAUGAUUGUAUAGUAAAUACUAAGUAAAAUAACAAUAAAAAACCGAACUCCAUGGAUCAUUUAAAUCGGAAAGUCCCUUAUCAAAUGGCAAAAAAAAAUAUCAAAAGCUCAAACACAUGAAAUGAAUGGAAAACAGCUGUCAUAUUCCUGACUUGGUACAGUCAUUUCCUUAUGUAGAAGGGAGACUGAAAAUACAAUUUCCUCUUGAUUAAUACAUGGUAAUUGAAAUUUAUUGUAUAGCCGUUACCAUAUUAUCAUGUUUUCAGGAUAUAUGUUUCACACAGCAUUUACAAAUAUAUUUUUUUUUAAACCAAGAUCAUUAUGUUUAGUACUCUUAAUGCCACUAAAUCUCCCUUUUAACAAGAACGACUGUUUGCUUUCAGAUUAAGGCAUUUUAAGUUUUACACCAGAAUACCAAACGAAUCAUCAAAACAUAUUUGAAUAAGAUGUUUAUUUCCAUGCAGUUUAAUUCGUUAAAUACCUACUAUUAGUUCAUUAAAUGCUUAAAUAAAAAUCGUGCAUAUUCGGGAAACGACAUGUUAGUCCUUUAUUGGUUUAACCAGUUGAUGAACCAUUAGAAAGUAUAUAAAACUUAUCUUUGUUUUCGAAAAAUUAGGCCAGUAUUGACCAGAGCACAUUUCAUAUGACUUUUUAAAAGGUAAUUUCAGAAAAGUGAAGUGUGCAUUGAUUUGAAAAGUUAUUAAACCAUUAUUAAAAAUUUGUGUUUUUCUUGCAAUUUUUAGUUUUUUACUCUAGUAUUUUUUCUUUUAGCCUUUUUUUUGUGUGAUGUUGACUGUCUUCUUCCACAAAUGUUUUUUGAUAGUUUAAACAUUUCCAUAGAUCAUUGACUAUCUAAUCACUUUUCUUAAUCAAUUAUUCAUGUGAUCGAUAUAAACAGAAGGUUAUACUUGACUGCAACAGAUAACUGAAAGAUUAUAUCACUUUAAGGAAUAAAAAUAGAAAUGUAGGAAAAGUGUUGAAAAGAAGUACUGUUAUUAAAAAAACCAAUGUCGUUUUAUUAUUUAUUUGAAGUUAUGUUGUGUGUUCAUUAUAUUUAUCUUCACACUUGCCUUGGAUUCCAUAUUUGACUAUGGUUUAUUAUUUCUAAAUUUUAUUGGUUAUGUAAGUAAGUCAAAUUUGUCUCCUGAGAAAAUUAUUCUAAAUAUGUAUUAGUUUAUAUAAAUUGUUAAGAACUAUGUAUUGUUUUUAAACAAGGAAUUUCUAGAUUCAUUGAAUUGUUGUACAUAUAAAAUGGAAAUAAAACCGGUAUGAGAAAAUCUGUACCAGAUCUUUGAAAUCAUA